GUGGGGAAUAUUGGACAAUGGGCGAAAGCCUGAUCCAGCCAUGCCGCGUGAGUGACGAAGGUCUUCGGAUUGUAAAGCUCUUUUGGCGGGGACGAUAAUGACGGUACCCGCAGAAUAAGCCCCGGCUAACUUCGUGCCAGCAGCCGCGGUAAUACGAAGGGGGCUAGCGUUGUUCGGAAUUACUGGGCGUAAAGCGCACGUAGGCGGACUUAUAAGUCAGGGGUGAAAUCCCGGGGCUCAACCUCGGAACUGCCUUUGACACUGUAAGUCUCGAGACCGGAAGAGGUGAGUGGAAUUCCUAGUGUAGAGGUGUAAUUCGUAGAUAUUAGGAAGAACACCAGUGGCGAAGGCGGCUCACUGGUCCGGUUCUGACGCUGAGGUGCGAAAGCGUGGGGAGCAAACAGGAUUAGAUACCCCUGUAGUCC
rnacentral:rRNA from 1 species